CUACGGGUCGCAGCAGUGAGGAAUAUUGGUCAAUGGGCGCGAGCCUGAACCAGCCAUCCCGCGUGCAGGAUGACGGCCCUAUGGGUUGUAAACUGCUUUUCUAUGCCAAGAAACCCUGUUACGAGUAACAGGUUGCCGGUAGCAUAGGAAUAAGCAUCGGCUAACUCCGUGCCAGCAGCCGCGGUAAUACGGAGGAUGCAAGCGUUAUCCGGAUUCAUUGGGUUUAAAGGGUGCGCAGGUGGGCUUGUAAGUCAGUGGUGAAAUGCUGCCGCUUAACGGUAGAACUGCCAUUGAUACUGCGAGUCUUGAGUAUGGUUGAGGUAGGCGGAAUGUGUUGUGUAGCGGUGAAAUGCAUAGAUAUGACACAGAACGCCAAUUGCGAAGGCAGCUUACUAAGCCAUUACUGACGCUGAGGCACGAAAGCGUGGGGAGCGAACAGGAUUAAAUACCCUUGUAGUC
rnacentral:rRNA from 1 species